rnacentral:rRNA from 1 species
GGGUUGUGAGGUUAAGCGACUAAGCGUACACGGUGGAUGCCCUGGCAGUCAGAGGCGAUGAAGGACGUGCUAAUCUGCGAUAAGCGCCGGUAAGGUGAUAUGAACCGUUAUAACCGGCGAUUUCCGAAUGGGGAAACCCAGUGUGAUUCGUCACACUAUCAUUAACUGAAUCCAUAGGUUAAUGAGGCGAACCGGGGGAACUGAAACAUCUAAGUACCCCGAGGAAAAGAAAUCAACCGAGAUUCCCCCAGUAGCGGCGAGCGAACGGGGAGGAGCCCAGAGCCUGAAUCAGCAUGUGUGUUAGUGGAAGCGUCUGGAAAGGCGCGCGAUACAGGGUGACAGCCCCGUACACAAAAGCGCAUGUGCUGUGAGCUCGAUGAGUAGGGCGGGACACGUGGUAUCCUGUCUGAAUAUGGGGGGACCAUCCUCCAAGGCUAAAUACUCCUGACUGACCGAUAGUGAACCAGUACCGUGAGGGAAAGGCGAAAAGAACCCCGGCGAGGGGAGUGAAAAAGAACCUGAAACCGUGUACGUACAAGCAGUGGGAGCACAGGUUUACCUGUGUGACUGCGUACCUUUUGUAUAAUGGGUCAGCGACUUAUAUUCUGUAGCAAGGUUAACCGUAUAGGGGAGCCGGAGGGAAACC